GAGAGCCGCCUAACACUCCUGUGCGAAACCCAAGAGAAAUUACCUCAAUAAGUGACGAUUCCACUUUUGAGGAGUCUGUGAAGUUUAUGAACUGGAGCAGCAUGUAUGAAGAUGAGAGUAAAAGUGGUCCCGGACCGGUUUAUGAAAGGGCCAAUGAAAUUGUGGAGGAAAGUAACCAGGAGAGUAAGCAUGUUUCUUCAUGCAUGGAAGUGACGUAAGUAAAUUUAAAAAAAAAAUCAUUUUGGUGUGGGUAAUAAUAAUAAUUUAAAUGUAAAAGAACAAGUUCGUUU